CCCUGACUGGGAGCUGCAAUAAGUAAUCACACAGCUUCUGGUUGUUCUGCUGCAAUCACCCCGGUUUAGAUUGCAGCUGAGCAUUAUCCUCGCAAGGCUUAAUGUUGAAAGACAGGUAUUUCCAACUGCUGCAGCAUAAGCACCAACAUUCCUGCUGGAAAUGGAUUAUGUUUGUGCAUGCAUCUACACUGAAGCAUUCUGAAUUUCAUUGGGCAUGGUGCCUGUGACUGAUUACAAAAUCUGCUGCUGAAGCAACUUCUAGAGGUGGUAGAAGGCCUGCAGUUGUGGAUCCUUUGCAUAUAUAAAUGUUAUUGUGUGUGUC